CCCUCUUCUAUCUACCUCUCUCUCAUUUCUAUCUUCUUUUCUAUCCCUUCUCUCUCUUCACUCUGGUGACAUAUUCAAAUUUCAGCAACCAACGACGAACGAGCUGGGCCGGCCAUCUGAGAACCCGCUGGGCGUGCCGAUUCCAAUCUUUGGCGCCAACUGAUUUUCGCAGCCCAUCAACGCUGUGUAAAUCACCCCUUCAUUCAUAGACGUCGAAUCACCCCUUCGAUCGAUCAUCUCCAUCAUCUCCAUUGCCUUCACCUAUUCAUUCACCGGUGUAACGCAUAGACGUCGAAUCACCCCUUCGAUCGAACAUCUCCAUCAUCUCCUCGCCCUCACUCCUUCAUUCACUGAUGUGAUGUGGAUGUGGUUUUGGGGAUGGCGAAAAUGUGGAUAUGGUGCUUCUUCUCUCUGAUAUGUGUUCGCGCUCCAGUGGUCGAAGUAGCAGCGAUGAUGUGGUGUUUCUGGGUGUUUGUGUUAAAGCGAUUGUUUCUGGGUAUCGUCGCUACUAUGGCAUUCCGAUCUAUUGUGGGGUUAUUUUUGGGUAUUGUUGGUAAGGUGGUGGUGAUGAAAAUCUAGAGUUUUGGGGAUAGUUGGUGGUGAUCUACAAAUUGUGGCGAUGUUUCUAGUUGGGGAGGUAGUGGUGGUGGUUAUGAUGUUUGGUUGCGGUGGUUGGAUGAUCUAGUUGGUCGUGGUGGUGAUAUUGGUGAGGUGGUGAUGUUGGUGGUCGUGGUGUUUUGUUGUCGUGGUAGUGGUGGUGAUGUGUGCAGUUGUUGGAGUAGGAUGCAAUGGUGAUGUAUGUGGUGGUGGAGUUGCUGGCGAUGAUGGUGAGGUGGUAGCGAUGCAGUCAAUGGUGGUGGUAACAGUUGACGAUGGCGAUGGUAAUGGUGUGGCAAUGGUGCAACGAUGAUGGUGUUGUGGUGCUGGCGACGAUCACAGGGUGAGGGUGGUUGCAAGUGGCGGUGGUGGUAUGUGACAUGCUAUUUGAUAUAUGUGACCAAUUAUGUGGUUAUUCAUGACCAAAUAUUAAAUCGUGACCUUAAAAUUCGUUAAUCUGUUACUGAAAAAUAAUUUGUGACCAACAAAUUUGAAAAUAUGUGACCGAUAGAUAAAUUGUAACUUGUAUUUUUUUUAUUUGUGACCAAUGAAAUAAAUUGUAAAUUAUAAAAUGUUUGAUUUGUAAUACCGAAAUAAUCUGUGACUUAUAAAAGUUUUGAUUUGUGACUUGAAAAUAAUCUGUGA
rnacentral:lncRNA from 1 species